rnacentral:lncRNA from 1 species
GGCCAGGGAAGUCCUGCCUUCGACCUUCAACGUGGCUGGUCUCCUCUCAGGUUCCUGGAAGGAGAUGGAGGGAGGUGAAACCUGAGAAAGGAAUACAGGGAGAGAGGUCGGCUCAACCCCGGGGGCUCUUUCUUCCGGCCUUCUUCUGAGGCUUCUCAUCUUCCUCACAUUGGUACAAGAAAUCUUCAAGGGACUGAUAACAGGCCCAGUUCGGCUGAUUACCAGUAAACACACAAAGCCUCAUCCGAAAUCAGCAGCUGCUCACACUGGAGAUGAAGCCAUGAGCCCCUGUGAGCAUCACGUCAUCCCCAAGUGUACAGGAUGCAGACAAGAGCCAGUGUGUGGUCUGACGUCGACAAAAAAAAACCAUGGUUCUUCCCUGAUUCAAAGUCUUCAGCAGAAGGGUUAUAGAAAAUGAAUUCUACCCUGUGUAAGUCAGUGACCCUGGCUGAGCUUUGUGGACGGAGCACCGUGACACCGGGGCAGAUCCUAGAGACAGCUACAGGACCACCACUGUCCUCAAGAGCCCCAAAGGCCAGAUGCUAUCUGAAAUAAAACUGCCUGGCAAUGGCAUUGUGAACUUCCAGCACCUUCCUCACAGCACCGGAGUUU